ACCCGCUGAACUUAAGCAUAUCAAUAAGCGGAGGAAAAGAAACCAACAGGGAUUGCCUUAGUAACGGCGAGUGAAGCGGCAACAGCUCAAAUUUGAAAUCUGGCCUUUGGCCCGAGUUGUAAUUUGCAGAGGAUGUUUCUGGCGAGGUGCCUUCCGAGUUCCCUGGAACGGGACGCCAUAGAGGGUGAGGGCCCCGUACGGUUGGUCGCUAAGCCUAUGUGAAACUCCUUCGACGAGUCGAGUAGUUUGGGAAUGCUGCUCUAAAUGGGAGGUACACGUCUUCUAAAGCUAAAUACCGGCUAGAGACCGAUAGCGCACAAGUAGAGUGAUCGAAAGAUGAAAAGCACUUUGAAAAGAGGGUUAAAAAGUACGUGAAAUUGUUGAAAGGGAAGCGCUCAUGACCAGACUUGGGCCGGUUGAUCAUCCAUCGUUCUCGGUGGUGCACUCUGCCGGCUCAGGCCAGCAUCAGUUUGGCUCGGGGGAUAAAGACUUCGGGAAUGUGGCUCUCUUCGGGGAGUGUUAUAGCCCGUUGUGUAAUACCCUGGGCCUGGACUGAGGUACGCGCUCCGCAAGGAUGCUGGCGUAAUGGUUAU
rnacentral:rRNA from 1 species